rnacentral:rRNA from 1 species
AUUGAACGCUGGCGGCAUGCUUUACACAUGCAAGUCGAACGGCAGCGCGGGCUUCGGCCUGGCGGCGAGUGGCGAACGGGUGAGUAAUACAUCGGAACGUGCCCAGUAGUGGGGGAUAGCUCGGCGAAAGCCGGAUUAAUACCGCAUACGACCUGAGGGUGAAAGUGGGGGAUCUUCGGACCUCGCGCUAUUGGAGCGGCCGAUGGCAGAUUAGCUAGUUGGUGGGGUAAAGGCCUACCAAGGCGACGAUCUGUAGCUGGUCUGAGAGGACGACCAGCCACACUGGGACUGAGACACGCCCCAGACUCCUACGGGAGGCAGCAGUGGGGAAUUUUGGACAAUGGGCGAAAGCCUGAUCCAGCAAUGCCGCGUGUGUGAUGAAGGCCUUCGGGUUGUAAAGCACUUUUGGCGGGAACGAAAAGGACUGUGCCAAUACCACGGUUCGAUGACGGUACCCUCAGAAUAAGCACCGGCUAACUACGUG